UGAGGGAAAGUUGCAAAGAACUUUGAAGAGAGAGUUCAAGAGUACGUGAAACUGCUCAGAGGCAAAGGGGUGGGCCCUCGAAAUCCCGCUGCGGGGGGAUUCAGUCGGGAGGUCGGAACGCCCCGGCGCGGAAACGGUCGGAGAAGUGCCGCCGCAUCCCGCCGGCGCCAGUACCGCCCGACGCACUUCCUCCCGCACAGAGGACGCCGCAGCCGGUUGGGAGUCGGCCAUGAGGACCGGAGACGGCAGGUGGCGGGGCGACCCCCCGGGGUCUCCCGUCUUUAGCCGACCGGUCCGCGAGGCGCGACGCCCGACCGAGGAAGAAGGAGCCCCGAACGGGGCUCCGGCCGUGCACUCGCAUCGCGGAAUGCGAGCGGUCCUGCCGGGCAGGAGAGAAUGCUCGGACGGAACCACCCGAGAGCGGUGGCCCGUCCCCGAGUCUCCACGAUAGCCCGGGGGUUCCGCAGCGGGUACAUCACGGCUGGCGGCGAGUAGGUCGGUCACCCACCCCACCCGUCUUGAAACACGGACCAAGGAGUCUAACAUGUGCGCGAGUCACGGGGUCUUGAACAGGCCCACGGGCGCAAUGAAAGUAGAGGACCCGAACGAGGUCCGAGUUGGGAUCCGCGGCCCCCCGCGGCAGCGGCGCACCAACAACCCGUGCCGCCAGAUUCGUUCGGCGGCCCGGAGUCGGAGCGUACACGUUGGGACCCGAAAGAUGGUGAACUAUGCCCGGGCAGGUCGAAGUCGGAGGAAACUCUGGUGGAGGACCGCAGCGGUUCUGACGUGCAAAUCGAUCGUCAGACCUAGG
rnacentral:rRNA from 1 species